GCCGGGCAUCGUGGUGUAUGCCUGUAAUCCUAGCUACUGAGGAGGCUGAGGCAGGAGGAUCGCUUGAACCCGGGAGGCGGAGGCUGCAGUGAGCCAAGAUCCGCCACUGCACUCCAGCCUGGGUGAUAGAGUGAGAUUCCGUCUCAC
ensembl:misc_RNA Metazoa_SRP Metazoan signal recognition particle RNA